UGGGGAAUCUUGCACAAUGGGGGCAACCCUGAUGCAGCGACGCCGCGUGAGCGAUGAAGCCCUUCGGGGCGUAAAGCUCUUUCGACCGGAACGAUAAUGACGGUACCGGGAGAAGAAGCUGCGGCUAACUACGUGCCAGCAGCCGCGGUAAUACGUAGGCAGCAAGCGUUGUUCGGAGUUACUGGGCGUAAAGAGUGCGUAGGCGGUUUUCUAAGUUCGGUGUGAAAUCUCCCGGCUUAACUGGGAGGGUGCGCCGAAGACUGGGAAGCUGGAGUGUGGGAAAGGCAGGCGGAAUUCCUGGUGUAGCGGUGAAGUGCGUAGAUAUCAGGAGGAACACCGGCGGUGUAGACGGCUUGCUAAACCAUAACUGACGCUGAGGCACGAAAGCGUGGGUAGCAAACA
rnacentral:rRNA from 1 species